rnacentral:rRNA from 1 species
UGCGCCUUGCCACGCCCGCUCAGAAACUUAAAGGAAGUUAGACGGGGGCCCGGCACAAGCGGUGGAGCACGUGGUUUAAUUCGAAGCAACGCGAAGAACCUACCAGGCCUUGACAUGCAGAGAACUUCCAGAGAUGGAUUGGUGCCUUCGGGAACUCUGACACAGGUGCUGCAUGGCUGUCGUCAGCUCGUGUCGUGAGAUGUUGGGUUAAGUCCCGUAACGAGCGCAACCCUUGUCCUUAGUUACCAGCACGUUAUGGUGGGCACUCUAAGGAGACUGCCGGUGACAAACCGGAGGAAGGUGGGGAUGACGUCAAGUCAUCACGGCCCUUACGGCCUGGGCUACACACGUGCUACAAUGGUCGGUACAAAGGGUUGCCAAGCCGCGAGGUGGAGCUAAUCCCAUAAAACCGAUCGUAGUCCGGAUCGCAGUCUGCAACUCGACUGCGUGAAGUCGGAAUCGCUAGUAAUCGUGAAUCAGAAUGUCACGGUGAAUACGUUCCCGGGCCUU